CGCUGAACUUAAGCAUAUCAAUAAGCGGAGGAAAAGAAACUAACAAGGAUUCCCCUAGUAACGGCGAGUGAAGCGGGAAGAGCUCAAGCUUAAAAUCUCCGUGCAAGUUUUGCGCGGCGAAUUGUAGUCUAUAGAGGCGUGGUCAGCGUGGGCGCUUGGGGCAAGUUCCUUGGAAGAGGACAGCAUGGAGGGUGAUACUCCCGUUCAUCCCUGAGUGGCUCGUGCGUACGACCCGUGUUCUUUGAGUCGCGUUGUUUGGGAAUGCAGCGCAAAGUAGGUGGUAAAUUCCAUCUAAAGCUAAAUAUUGGUGCGAGACCGAUAGCGAACAAGUACCGUGAGGGAAAGAUGAAAAGAACUUUGAAAAGAGAGUUAAAGAGUACCUGAAACUGCUGAAAGGGAACCGAAUCGUUUCCAGUGUCUAUAAUCCGUGGCAUAUUUCAUUGGCGAGUGUGCGCGUGCGUGUGCUGUGGCAGUGGCUUUUUUGGCUGCGCUCGGUGUGUGUGCUGUGUGUGCUUGCUGGUGCCCUGUGCUGCGGUGGGACGUCAAGGUCAGUUCGUAUGCUGCGGGAAAUGGCUGCCGAGGAGGUAGGGCUUACGCUCCGCGUUUGUCUGUUAUAUCUUGGUGGACGAGUCGUCGCGGUUGGGACUGAGGUGCCUACAACGUGCUUUUGAGUGGGUUUGUGUCUCCGUGUGCGCCGUGUGCGGAUAGCUUGCUAUGCGUGUGUGGUUGUGUGUGGAUUGAUGCGGGCUUUAACUUGUCGCCGUUCGGGACGUUGACGAAAUGGAGCGAUCCGACCCGUCUUGAAACACGGACCAAGGAGUCUAACAUGUGUGCAAGUGUUAGGGUGUGGAAACCCCAGCGCGAAAUGAAAGUGAAGGGCAGCGCAAGUUGUCUGAGGUAGGAAACGUUGCGGGCUUCGGUCUGCGGCGUGGCACUAUCGACCGAUCAUGAACCUUCGUGGUGAAAGAUUUGAGUUUGAGCACAUAUGUUGGUACCCGAAAGAUGGUGAACUAUGCCUGAGUAGGGUGAAGCCAGGGGAAACUCUGGUGGAAGCUCGUAGCGAUUCUGACGUGCAAAUCGAUCGUCAAACUUGGGUAUAGGGGCGAAAGACUAAUCGAACCAUCUAGUAGCUGGUUCCCUCCGAAAUUUCCCUCAGGAUAGCAGCAACUUAUUUACGAUAGUUUUAUGAGGUAAAGCGAAUGAUUAGAGGAUUCGGGGAAGAAACUUCCUCGACCUAUUCUCAAACUUUAAAUCUGUAAGACCUGCAGGUUUCUUAAUUGAACUUGUGGAUGUGAAUAUCAAGUUGCUAGUGGGCCAUACGGGGUAAGCUCGUCUGGCG
rnacentral:rRNA from 1 species